UAGGUAGUUUCAUGUUGUUGGGAUCCAUUUUCUACCUCUACAACACGAAACUGUCUGA
ensembl:miRNA microRNA 196a-2